CACGUAGUUAGCCGGGGGCUUCUUCUUCAGGUACCGUCAUUAUCGUUCCUGCUGACAGAGCUUUACGCGCCGAGGCGCUUCUUCACUCACGCGGCGUCGCUGCAUCAGGGUUUCCCCCAUUGUGCAAUAUUCCCCACUGCUGCCUCCCGUAGGAGUUUGGGCCGUGUCUCAGUCCCAAUGUGGCCGUCCACCCUCUCAGGCCGGCUACCGAUCGUCGCUUUGGUGGGCCGUUACCCCGCCAACUGGCUAAUCGGACGCGGGCUCAUCCCGUACCACCGGAGUUUUCAAGGCCGGGGCAUGCGCCCCCGCUGUCAUGCGGUGUUAGCACCUGUUUCCAGGUGUUAUCCCCCGGUACGGGGCAGGAUUGCCCACGCGUUACUCACCCGUCCGCCACUAGGCCGCGUCCGCCCGGGUCCGGUAAACCUUCCCCGGGCCUUACCGCGGCCCCGUUCGACCUUGCACUGUGUUAGGCACGCCGCCAGCGUUCAUCCCGUGACGUCCAAGGACUCGAAAACCUCGUUA
rnacentral:rRNA from 1 species